GUCUAUGGCCAUGCCACCCUGAACAAGCCUGAUCCCAUCUGAUCUCAGAAGCCAAGCAGGGUCGGGCCUGGUUAGUUCUUGGAUGGGAGUCCACCUUGGAAGACCAGGUACCAUAAGGG
rnacentral:rRNA from 1 species